GGCCCCUUCGUCUAGUGGUUAGGAUCCCAGGUUUUCAUCCUGGUUACAGGAGUUCGAAUCUCCUAGGGGUCACCA
rnacentral:tRNA from 1 species